rnacentral:rRNA from 1 species
AGAGCGAACGCUGGCGGCAGGCUUAACACAUGCAAGUCGAGCGGGCGGUAGCGAAUACGGUCAGCGGCAGACGGGUGAGUAACGCGUGGGAACAUACCUUUUGGUUCGGAACAACCCAGGGAAACUUGGGCUAAUACCGGAUAAGCCCUUACGGGGAAAGAUUUAUCGCCGAAAGAUUGGCCCGCGUCUGAUUAGCUAGUUGGUGAGGUAACGGCUCACCAAGGCGACGAUCAGUAGCUGGUCUGAGAGGAUGAUCAGCCACAUUGGGACUGAGACACGGCCCAAACUCCUACGGGAGGCAGCAGUGGGAAUAUGGACAAUGGGCGCAAGCCUGAUCCAGCCAUGCCGCGUGAGUGAUGAAGGCCCUAGGGUUGUAAAGCUCUUUUGUGCGGAAGAUAAUGACGGUACCGCAAGAAUAAGCCCGGCUAACUUCGUGCCAGCAGCCGC